rnacentral:tRNA from 1 species
GCCGACGUAGCUCAGUGGUAGAGCAGCUCUCUCGUAAAGAGCAGGUCGGAGGUUCAAAUCCUCUCGUCGGCU